GACGAACGCUGGCGGCGUGCUUAACACAUGCAAGUCGAGCGGAAAGGCCACUUCGGUGGUACUCGAGCGGCGAACGGGUGAGUAACACGUGAGUAAUCUGCCCUCAACUCUGGGAUAGCCCCCGGAAACGGUGAUUAAUACCGGAUACGACCACUCCACGCAUGUGGUGGUGGUGGAAACUUUUUUGGGUGGGGGAUGUGCUCGCGGCCUAUCAGCUUGUUGGUGGGGUAAGGGCCUACCAAGGCUUCGACGGGUAGCCGGCCUGGGAGGGUGGCCGGCCACACUGGGACGGGGCGACGGCCCGGGAUCCUACAGGGAGCAGCAGUGGGGAAUAUUGGACAAUGGGCGGAAGCCUGGUCCAGCAACGCCGCGUGAGGGAUGACGGCCUUCGGGUUGUAAACCGCUUUCAGCACCGACGAAGCGCAAGUGACGGUAGGUGCAGAAGAAGGACCGGCCAACUACGUGCCAGCCGCCGCGGUAAAAC
rnacentral:rRNA from 1 species